rnacentral:rRNA from 1 species
CUGGCGGCGUGCCUAUCAUGCAAGUCGAGCGGACCGACGGGAGCUUGCUCCCUUAGGUCAGCGGCGGACGGGUGAGUAACACGUGGGUAACCUGCCUGUAAGACUGGGAUAACUCCGGGAAACCGGGGCUAAUACCGGAUGCUUGAUUGAACCGCAUGGUUCAAUUAUAAAAGGUGGCUUUUAGCUACCACUUACAGAUGGACCCGCGGCGCAUUAGCUAGUUGGUGAGGUAACGGCUCACCAAGGCAACGAUGCGUAGCCGACCUGAGAGGGUGAUCGGCCACACUGGGACUGAGACACGGCCCAGACUCCUACGGGAGGCAGCAGUAGGGAAUCUUCCGCAAUGGACGAAAGUCUGACGGAGCAACGCCGCGUGGAGUGAUGAAGGUUUUCGGAUCGUAAAACUCUGUUGUUAGGGAAGAACAAGUACCGUUCGGAAUAGGGCGGUACCUUGACGGUACCUAACCAGAAAGCCACGGCUAACUACGUGCCAGCAGCCGCGGUAAUACGUAGGUGGCAAGCGUUGUCCGGAAUUAUUGGGCGUAAAGCGCGCGCAGGCGGUUUCUUAAGUCUGAUGUGAAAGCCCCCGGCUCAACCGGGGAGGGUCAUUGGAAACUGGGGGAACUUGAGUGCAGAAAAAGGAGAGUGGAAUUCCACCGUGUAGCGGUGAAAUGCGUAAAAAAUUUUGGAAGAACCCCAGUGGCGAAGGCGACUCUCUGGUCUGUAACUGACGCUGAGGCGCGAAAGCGUGGGGAGCGAACAGGAUUAGAUACCCUGGUAGU